UUGAACGCUGGCGGCAGGCCUAACACAUGCAAGUCGAACGGUAACAGGAAACAGCUUGCUGUUUCGCUGACGAGUGGCGGACGGGUGAGUAAUGUCUGGGAAACUGCCUGAUGGAGGGGGAUAACUACUGGAAACGGUAGCUAAUACCGCAUAACGUCGCAAGACCAAAGAGGGGGACCUUCGGGCCUCUUGCCAUCGGAUGUGCCCAGAUGGGAUUAGCUUGUUGGUGGGGUAACGGCUCACCAAGGCGACGAUCCCUAGCUGGUCUGAGAGGAUGACCAGCCACACUGGAACUGAGACACGGUCCAGACUCCUACGGGAGGCAGCAGUGGGGAAUAUUGCACAAUGGGCGCAAGCCUGAUGCAGCCAUGCCGCGUGUAUGAAGAAGGCCUUCGGGUUGUAAAGUACUUUCAGCGGGGAGGAAGGGAGUAAAGUUAAUACCUUUGCUCAUUGACGUUACCCGCAGAAGAAGCACCGGCUAACUCCGUGCCAGCAGCCGCGGUAAUACGGAGGGUGCAAGCGUUAAUCGGAAUUACUGGGCGUAAAGCGCACGCAGGCGGUUUGUUAAGUCAGAUGUGAAAUCCCCGGGCUCAACCUGGGAACUGCAUCUGAUACUGGCAAGCUUGAGUCUCGUAGAGGGGGGUAGAAUUCCAGGUGUAGCGGUGAAAUGCGUAGAGAUCUGGAGGAAUACCGGUGGCGAAGGCGGCCCCCUGGACGAAGACUGACGCUCAGGUGCGAAAGCGUGGGGAGCAAACAGGAUUAGAUACCCUGGUAGUCCACGCCGUAAACGAUGUCGACUUGGAGGUUGUGCCCUUGAGGCGUGGCUUCCGGAGCUAACGCGUUAAGUCGACCGCCUGGGGAGUACGGCCGCAAGGUUAAAACUCAAAUGAAUUGACGGGGGCCCGAACAAGCGGUGGAGAAUGUGGUUUAAUUCGAUGCAACGCGAAGAACCUUACCUGGUCUUGACAUCCACGGAAGUUUUCAGAGAUGAGAAUGUGCCUUCGGGAACCGUGAGACAGGUGCUGCAUGGCUGUCGUCAGCUCGUGUUGUGAAAUGUUGGGUUAAGUCCCGCAACGAGCGCAACCCUUAUCCUUUGUUGCCAGCGGUCCGGCCGGGAACUCAAAGGAGACUGCCAGUGAUAAACUGGAGGAAGGUGGGGAUGACGUCAAGUCAUCAUGGCCCUUACGACCAGGGCUACACACGUGCUACAAUGGCGCAUACAAAGAGAAGCGACCUCGCGAGAGCAAGCGGACCUCAUAAAGUGCGUCGUAGUCCGGAUUGGAGUCUGCAACUCGACUCCAUGAAGUCGGAAUCGCUAGUAAUCGUGGAUCAGAAUGCCACGGUGAAUACGUUCCCGGGCCUUGUACACACCGCCCGUCACACCAUGGGAGUGGGUUGCAAAAGAAGUAGGUAGCUUAACCUUCGGGAGGGCGCUUACCACUUUGUGAUUCAUGACUGGGGUG
rnacentral:rRNA from 1 species